GAGUAACUAUGACUCUCUUAAGGUAGCCAAAUGCCUCGUCAUCACAAAAAAAGCAGUGCCACCGGACCCCCCCCCCCUUGGGUAAGGGGGGGGGGUUCAAAGGGUCUCCCCUUGGUAGCAAGGGGGGGGAUCCAAUGCCUCGUCAUCACAAAAAAGCAGUGCCAUCGGGCCCCCCCCCCCUUGGGUAAGGGGGGGGUCCAAAGGGUCCCCCCCCCCUGGGGGGGGAUCCAGGGUAGCCCUUUGAGUCGUUAGGGGUUCCCGUGAUGCCCUUUCGGGGGUAUCCGAAACCACUGGGUCUUCCCCCAUAUCGUGAUUUUAUAUGAGGGGGGGGGAAGCAUCCAGGAUGCCCUUUCGGGGGCGUCCGAAUCCUUUUAAAGACAUUUAAUUAGACAAAAGGACCCCGCAUGCGCUAAAGCCAGUGAUAGUCGAAGGAACCCCGUUCGGUGGGGUGCCUUUAGAAGCCAAAUUGCAAGGAGGGGAGGGAUCCUGGCCUGUAAGGCACGGGAGACCGCUUGACCCGACUAGCAGCCAAUCUGUCUGGGAACCGGUGCCAGCACCCCCCACCCGUUACGCCACUCUCCCUCGACGGGGGGAGGGAGGUAGGGAGGGGAAGGAGGCAUUGGGGAAAGGGCGGAAGGUUCAGAGACUGAACGGCCUCGAAGACUAGCAAACAGUCCACCCCCAAUUGACUCGGGAUCAGUAGAGACGUGUGGCUUGUCUGGGAAACCGGGCAUGGGCCAGUGGCCUCGCAUUACUCAGUACUGGGUUGUCAUCGCUUCCAACAAAGGGAAUGGAUCGGUGGCGGGGAGGGUAGUCACAGCCCCUGUUGUUAAUUUGUGACGCGCAUGAAUGGAUUAAUGAGAUUCCCACUGUCCCUACCUACUAUCUAGCGAAACCACAGCCAAGGGAACGGGCUUGGCACAAUUAGCGGGGAAAGAAGACCCUGUUGAGCUUGACUCUAGGCACAAACGCGAGGUGAUUCUAAAGGUGUAGCAUAGGUGGGAGGGCCCAUGCCCGACCUUGAAAUACCACCACUUUAGACAUUGCUUUGCUAAUGCUGUAACGAAUGAACGGCCCCCUGAUAUCCUGCUCGGAAGGGUGGGUAUUGGGUAAGGUCAUAUUCUAGUGCUUUCCGAGCUCGUAUGAUGGCUUGGGCUCUCUGGGAUAGUACUUUGGGACCGCAAACUGGGCUUCCGGGUUCGGUGCGUGUUGUUUCUGAGGGAACCAGAGAUCGCUUGGGCUGUCCUCUAUGGGGUCAAGGAUGGUACAUAAAGUCGUGUAGCAGACUCUUUGUGUUAGGGAGUUUGGCUGGGGCGGAAAACUGCUACAUGGCAACGGCAGUCUCCUAAGGUCCACUCAGAGACGACAGAAACUCUCGUAGAGCAUAAAGGCAAAAGUGGGCUUAACUCGCAUUUUAGUAGUAAUGUGAAGCAAGAAAUUGAGGCUUAACGAUCCUUAGCCGCGGGUGCCAGCCCACGCUUGAGGUGAGAGAAAAGUUACCACAGGGAUUGAUGCUGGUAACGGGCUUUCGGGGAAANGGUAAACAACGCUGCUUUAUAAACCGUAACCUGGGAGCCCAAACGGGAAGGCAAGGGGGGGGGACCGGGGCACCGGACCCCUUCCCGGGAUGGGGAUCGGGGGCACCCGUGAUCCGUUCCUGCUAACCACCAAAGGGAUGGUCCCAAUGGGACUAACCCUAAUUGUUUGAUUCUGCUGAGUCAGACCCUUGGCGAGGCGCAGGUUGCCGAGGGUCAAGGCGACAUACCUGGAUGCUGUGAAAAUCUCCGUUAGACGUACCCUUCGGGGUGGGUCUUGAAGGCUAGGGGUACCAGGCGUUUGCUAGUAGUACUGGCACGUGGAGGUCGGCUUCCCUACGGGGGGGCUGAUCGGGUAACAAUCCUCUCAGCUAAGGAAUCGAUCAGCACACGGACAAGGCAAUCCAGAGGGCCACCGAGCGGCAUCUCCCCAGGGGGAGCCUCCUCAAACGGUCUUCGGGCAAUGGUUGCUACGCGUGUCAAAGACUGGAAAGGUAUGGGUUUGGUUUUAGGUCUUCCCUAAAGCCCCAUAUGGCCACCCCCCCUUGGGGGGGAGGUCGGGGUUUGGGGGGGUACUAUUCCCGAGCUUAAGGAACAGUCUAAGCUUCGGUUCGGUCUCAGGACUGGACUGCCUUAGUCCCAUCAACCCACGACUGCAGGGUAAGGGGCUUUGGGGUUGGAUCAGGACGGAUGGGAAACACCACACCCCCCCCCCCUGGGGGGGGGGGAACGGUCGUAGUACUACCCUGAAUGGACCGAUCAGGCACCCAAUAGAACUGGCUUGUGGCCGCCAAGCGUUCAUAGCGACGUGGC
rnacentral:rRNA from 1 species